rnacentral:lncRNA from 1 species
GUUUAUCUCUAGAAGUUUGAUGCAAAUUAAUUUUUCAAUCCUCCCUAAAUCCUUAAUUAAUCGUAAGGCCACUAUUUUACUUAAAUAACUAACUGCCUAAUUGUCUUUCGGACCACAACGAUGAUAAAUCACACAUCACACAUCAAGAGGUCAUAGUUUAAUUAUUUCGAAAACAAUUGUUUUGAUGCAUAGCCAAUGGUUAGCUGCUAAAAGUAGUACUCUAGUUAAGGACGAAGCAGAUAGAAAAAUCCUAAUAAUUCUAAGCCACUCCUAAGUUGACGUUAACU